GGCGCUGAAGUGGCCGAGCUGUUGGGAGGGGCCUGAGUGGGCGCUUCGAGGACCCAAGAUUGUCUAAAGCCACAGGGAAAAUGGUGGAAAAUUCACCGUCGCCAUUGCCAGAAAGAGCGAUUUAUGGCUUUGUUCUUUUCUUAAGCUCCCAAUUUGGCUUCAUCCUGUAUCUCGUGUGGGCAUAUAUUCCUGAAUCUUGGCUAAACUCCUUAGGAUUAACCUAUUGGCCUCAAAAAUACUGGGCAAUUGCAUUGCCCGUCUACUUCCUCAUUACUACAGUAAUUGGUUACGUACUCUUAUUUGGAAUAAACAUGAUGAGUACCUCUCCACUCAACUCCAUUCAUACAAUCACAGAUAACUAUGCUAAAAAUCAACAGCAGAAGAAAUACCAAGAAGAGGCCAUCCCAGCAUUAAGAGAUAUUCCUAUUAGUGAAGUAAACCAAAUGUUCUUCCUGGCAACUAAAUAACUUUAUGCCAAAAACUAA